rnacentral:rRNA from 1 species
GGCCUUGACAUACUAAGAACUUUCCAGAGAUGGAUUGGUGCCUUCGGGAACUUAGAUACAGGUGCUGCAUGGCUGUCGUCAGCUCGUGUCGUGAGAUGUUGGGUUAAGUCCCGNAACGAGCGCAACCCUUUUCCUUAUUUGCCAGCGGGUCAUGCCGGGAACUUUAAGGAUACUGCCAGUGACAAACUGGAGGAAGGCGGGGACGACGUCAAGUCAUCAUGGCCCUUACGGCCAGGGCUACACACGUGCUACAAUGGUCGGUACAAAGGGUUGCUACCUCGCGAGAGGAUGCUAAUCUCAAAAAGCCGAUCGUAGUCCGGAUCGCAGUCUGCAACUCGACUGCGUGAAGUCGGAAUCGCUAGUAAUCGCGGAUCAGAAUGCCGCGGUGAAUACGUUCCCGGGCCUUGUACACACCGCCCGUCACACCAUUGGAGUUUGUUGCACCAGAAGUAGGUAGUCUAACCGCAAGGAGGACGCUUACCACGGUGUGGCCGAUGACUGGGGUGAAGUCGUAACAAGGUAGGCGUAGAUGA